UACGUAGGGUGCAAGCGUUAUCCGGAAUCACUGGGCGUAAAGCGUGCGUAGGUGGGAAUUUAAGUGAGAUGUGAAAUCGUGUGGCUCAACCAUAUCGUUGUAUCUCAUACUGGGUUCCUAGAGGACGGCAGAGGCAAGUGGAGCUAGCAGUGUAGCAGUGAAAUGCGUAGAUAUUGCUAAGAACACCAAUGGCGAAGGCAGCUUGCUGGGCCACUCCUGACACUGAGGUACGAAAGCGUGGGGAGCGAACAGG
rnacentral:rRNA from 1 species